UACGAAGGGGGCUAGCGUUGUUCGGAUUUACUGGGCGUAAAGCGCACGUAGGCGGAUCUUUAAGUCAGGGGUGAAAUGCCGGAGCUCAACUUCGGAACUGCCUUUGAUACUGGAGAUCUUGAGUUCGGGAGAGGUGAGUGGAACUGCGAGUGUAGAGGUGAAAUUCGUAGAUAUUCGCAAGAACACCAGUGGCGAAGGCGGCUCACUGGCCCGAUACUGACGCUGAGGUGCGAAAGCGUGGGGAGCAAACAGG
rnacentral:rRNA from 1 species